rnacentral:rRNA from 1 species
GCACCCGCGGUAAUUCCAGCACCAAUAGCGUAUAUUAAUGCUGCUGCUGUUAAAAAGCUCGUAGUUGGAUCAAGAGUACAACAGUGCAAGGUGGCCUCAUUGUGGUCUCAGCUCCGGUUGCGCUCACGGUGGCGGAUUCAACCCCUUGCACUAAACUGUUGUCUCUAACAGGCCGAAGCGGUUCCCUGUGAGUAGGCCACUUCAUUGGGGCUGAAAGCGAUUACGCAUCUACCACAUGCAUACGGGACGUCGGCCAAAGUUACUGUGAACAAACCAGCGUGUCCAAAACAGGCUUUCGCCUGAAUGUUCGAGCAUGGAAUAACAAGGGAUCGAUUCUCUCGGUUCUUUUUGUUGGUUUUUAACCCGAGAAGGAGUAAUUCAGGCCACGGUGUCUGGGCUGGGUUCCCCUAGGCUUCGGCUUAGGCCCCAGUUAGGCCGUGUUCUUACGGGAUAAAUAGGGACUGACGGGGUCGUACGUACUUCCACGUCAGAGGUGAAAUUCUUAGAUCGUGGGAAGACGAACUUCUGCGAAAGCAUUCGACAAGAAUGUCUUCAUUAAUCAAGAACGAGAGUGUGGGGAUCGAAGAUGAUCAGAUACCGUCGUAGUCCACUACUGUAAACAAUGCCGUCUCAGGAUUGAGAAGUGACCCUAAUGACUUUCACAGCACUAACCCCUGAAACGAGAAAUCAAAGAUUAUGGGUUCAGGGGGGAGUACAUUCGCAAGGCUGAAACUUAAAGGAAUUGACGGAAUGACACCACAAGGCGUGGAGUAUGCGGCUUAAUUUGACUCAACACGGGGAAUUUUACUAGGUCAGGACAAUGUAAGGAUUGACAGAUUGAGAGCUCUUUCUCGAUCCAUUGUGUGGUGGUGCAUGGCCGCUCCUGGUUGGUGGAGUGAUUUGUCUGGUUGAUUCCGUUAACGAACGAGAUCUCGACCCUUAAAUAGGUGCCCAUGUCGAUCGUAGUUUCGCCUCCGCUCGCUUGCGAGAUUGGAGAGGGACGAGACUGUGGGAAUACUUCUUAAGGGGACUGUGUGCGUCUCUAGCACGCGGAAGAGCGAGCCAAUAGCAGGUCUGUGAUGCUCCUAAAUGUCCUAGGCUGCACGCGCACUACACUGAUGCAAUAAACGAGUCUGAGUGCCUCCUGGCAACCUACCUAGAAGUGGGUGGGAAAUCUUUUGAACUUGCAUCGUGAUGAG